rnacentral:rRNA from 1 species
UACGUAGGGGGCAAGCGUUGUCCGGAAUCAUUGGGCGUAAAGGGCGCGUAGGCGGCGUGACAAGUCACUUGUGAAAUCUCCGGGCUUAACCCGGAACGGUCAAGUGAUACUGUCGUGCUAGAGUACAGAAGGGGCAACUGGAAUUCUCGGUGUAGCGGUGAAAUGCGUAGAUAUGUGGAGGAACACCGAUGGCGAAGGCAGCCCCCUGGGUUAACACUGACGCUCAUGCACGAAAGCGUGGGGAGCAAACAGG